rnacentral:lncRNA from 1 species
CUUUGUUAAUACUAUAAGGCAUGGGGGAAAUCUGGAUUCAGAAUAUUUUUUGUUGUCCUCUGCUUGCACAGAUUUUGUUUUCUCCAGCAAAUUGGAGAUCAGAAUAUUUUUAUGUACCUGUACCCCUCGUGGAAGUAUCUAAGUAAAAAAGGUGUCACUUUAGUGACUAUAUUUAUAUAUCGGAUUCCCAAAAAUAUAACUAUUUAUCACUGCAUGAUAUAAACUUUUUAAAAUUAUUUUCA